rnacentral:rRNA from 1 species
UACGUAGGGGCAAGCGUUGUCCGGAAUUAUUGGGCGUAAAGCGCGCGCAGGCGGUUUUUUAAGUCUGGUGUUUAAGCCCGGGGCUCAACCCCGGUUCGCAUCGGAAACUGGAAGACUUGAGUGCAGGAGAGGAAAGUGGAAUUCCACGUGUAGCGGUGAAAUGCGUAGAGAUGAUGGAGGAACACCAGUGGCGAAGGCGACUUUCUGGACUGUAACUGACGCUGAGGCGCGAAAGCGUGGGGAGCAAACAGG